AGUGAACGCUGGCGGUAGGCCUAACACAUGCAAGUCGAACGGCAGCACAGUAAGAGCUUGCUCUUACGGGUGGCGAGUGGCGGACGGGUGAGGAAUACCUCGGAAUCUACUUUUUCGUGGGGGAUAACGUAGGGAAACUUACGCUAAUACCGCAUACGACCUACGGGUGAAAGCAGGGGAUCUUCGGACCUUGCGCGAUUGAAUGAGCCGAUGUCGGAUUAGCCAGUUGGCGGGGUAAAGGCCCGCCAAGGCGACGAUCCGUAGCUGGUCUGAGAGGAUGAUCAGCAACACUGGAACUGAGACACGGUCCAGACUCCUACGGGAGGCAGCAGUGGGGAAUAUUGGACAAGGGGCGCAAGCCUGAUCCAGCCAUACCGCGUGGGUGAAGAAGGCCUUCGGGUUGUAAAGCCCUUUUGUUGGGAAAGAAAAGCAGCAGGUUAAUACCCCGCUGUUCUGACGGUACCCAAAGAAUAAGCACCGGCUAACUUCGUG
rnacentral:rRNA from 1 species